ACCUACGGGACGCAGCAGUGGGGGAUAUUGCACAAUGGGCGAAAGCCUGAUGCAGCAACGCCGCGUGAGUGAAGAAGGUUUUCGGAUCGUAAAACUCUGUUGGUAGAGAAGAACGUUGGUGAGAGUGGAAAGCUCAUCAAGUGACGGUAACUACCCAGAAAGGGACGGCUAACUACGUGCCAGCAGCCGCGGUAAUACGUAGGUCCCGAGCGUUGUCCGGAUUUAUUGGGCGUAAAGCGAGCGCAGGUGGUUUAUUAAUUCUGGUGUAAAAGGCAGUGGCUCAACCAUUGUAUGCAUUGGAAAUU
rnacentral:rRNA from 1 species